UGCGCCUGUGACUUUCCCUUGGGGUCAAACCUCAAUCCCAGCGCAGUUCCUUGACCCUGUCGGCCUCAUCUGCCCUCCCCUCCUCCUGAUCUCUAAGCUCCAUCCACGCUGGCGGCCUGUCCACGGACCAUCGGAGCAUCCGCACACACUGCUGGCUCCGCCCCCGCCCCGGCGCAUCCGCGCGCCUUCCCGCCCGCCGCCAGCCUAAACCGGGGCCUCGGCUGUCCUCUCCUGCACGCUCUUCUUUUCUCCGGCAGCUUCUCAGGCUCCGAGUCUCGGUUUAGUGGCUGCCCCACUCGCACUCUAAACCUCUCGAGACCAAGGACUGUGUGGAUUUCAUCCCUGCAUUGCCCGGUCUAGAAGCAUGCGUGGCAAACGUUGGACCUGGGAGCCACGCCUGGGAAGUGGGGUCUUCAAGGAAGAGACUCCCCAUCUCUCCGUUUGUCCAAGAGGUAAAACCACAUUCUGUCCUGAAGCUGUGAGAAAGUUGACUUUGCCUUUGGGGAAGGCCAGUUAACAAACACAGUGGCUGAGGACCCCACUCCCACCCCAGGUCUUAAAAUCCGCCUGGCCCGUGUUUCCGUGGACCUCAGGUUGAGCUCUGGGCCCCGGCCUCUGUUACAACGGCCAAGAGUAAAGUCUUCUUUACGAGCCUCAGUGUGUCUGGUGCAAUGUUGCUUCGAUGCUAUAAAAGGAGCUUGAGACAUCCUCCAUAAUUUCUUAAAACAAAAAGGAGCAUUUACAUUACAAAAUGAACUGUGUUUGGUUUUUAUGAAACAAGAAGGAAAGGGAAACCCUUUACAUUAAAAUAGCAUCUGAUUUUUUUUUUCUAAAUAAAUGAAGCCUAUUUUUA